rnacentral:sRNA from 1 species
CGAGAACAAAAAAGAUUAAGGAGGGGAGGGGGAGUGUGAGUGCGAUGAACGGAGGGACAGGUUUGGCACAAGUGUGAGCGCGGGUAUUGAGUCCUAGGUAGUAUUAAAGUAAUGGGUAGCGGGUAGGUAUUGAUCAGUAUUAAAGUAAUGGGUAGCAGAUAGGUAUUUAGUCCUGGGUAGUAUUAAAGUAAUGGGUAGCGGAUAGAUAUUAACUUCUGGGUAGUAUUAAAGUAAUGGGUAGCGGGUAGGUAUUGAGUUCUGGGUAGUAUUAAAAUAAUGGGUAGCAGGUAGGUAGUAAGUCCUGGGUAGUAUUAAAGUAAUGGGUAGCGGAUAGGCAUUAAGUCGUGGGUAGUAUUAAAGUAAUGGGUAGCGGGUAGGUAUUGAGUCCUGGGUAGUAUUAAAGUAAUGGGUAGCGGGUAGGUAUUGAGUCCUGGGUAGUAUUAAAGUAAUGGGUAGCGGAUAGAUAUUAACUUCUGGGUAGUAUUAAAGUAAUGGGUAGCGGGUAGGUAUUGAGUCCUGGGUAGUAUUAAAGUAAUGGGUAGCGGAUAGGUAUUAAGUCCUGGGUAGUAUUAAAGUAAUGGGUAGCGGAUAGGUAUUAAGUCCUGGGUAGUAUUAAAGUAAUGGGUAGCGGGUAGGUAUUGAGUCCUGGGUAGUAUUAAAGUAAUGGGUAGUAGGUAGGUAUUGAGUCCUGGGUAGUAUUAAAGUAAUGGGUAGCAGGUAGGUAUUGAGUUCUAGGUACUGGCGAAUCCAAGGGGGCGGGAAAGGUAUCGCACCCUACUCGGCCGACCCA